UAGCCGCGGGAAUACGUAGGGUGCGAGCGUUAAUCGGAAUUACUGGGCGUAAAGCGUGCGCAGGCGGUUUUGUAAGACAGGCGUGAAAUCCCCGGGCUCAACCUGGGAAUGGCGCUUGUGACUGGCGGGCUAGAGUAUGGCAGAGGGGGGUAGAAUUCCACGUGUAGCAGUGAAAUGCGUAGAGAUCAGGAGGAACACCGAUGGCGAAGGCAGCCCCCUGGGCCUGUACUGACGCUCAUGCACGAAAGCGUGGGGAGCAAACAGGAUUAGAUACCCCGGUAGUCCCUGUCUCUUAUACACA
rnacentral:rRNA from 1 species